UACGGGGGGGGCAAGCGUUGUUCGGAAUUACUGGGCGUAAAGGGCUCGUAGGCGGCCAACUAAGUCAGACGUGAAAUCCCCAGGCUCAACCUGGGAACUGCGUCUGAUACUGGAUGGCUUGAAUUCGGGAGAGGGAUGCAGAAUUCCAGGUGUAGCGGUGAAAUGCGUAGAUAUCUGGAGGAAUACCGGUGGCGAAGGCGGCAUCCUGGACCGACAUUGACGCUGAUGAGCGAAAGCUAGGGGAGCAACGGG
rnacentral:rRNA from 1 species